rnacentral:rRNA from 1 species
GAUGAACGCUGGCGGCGUGCCUAAUACAUGCAAGUCGAGCGAACAGACGAGGAGCUUGCUCCUCUGACGUUAGCGGCGGACGGGUGAGUAACACGUGGAUAACCUACCUAUAAGACUGGGAUAACUUCGGGAAACCGGAGCUAAUACCGGAUAAUAUAUUGAACCGCAUGGUUCAAUAGUGAAAGACGGUUUUGCUGUCACUUAUAGAUGGAUCCGCGCCGCAUUAGCUAGUUGGUAAGGUAACGGCCUACCAAGGCAACGAUGCGUAGCCGACCUGCGAGGGUGAUCGGCCACACUGGAACUGAGACACGGUCCAGACUCCUACGGGAGGCAGCAGUAGGGAAUCUUCCGCAAUGGGCGAAAGCCUGACGGAGCAACGCCGCGUGAGUGAUGAAGGUCUUCGGAUCGCAAAACUCUGUUAUUAGGGAAGAACAAAUGUGUAAAUAACUAUGCACGUCUUGACGGUACCUAAUCAGAAAGCCACGGCUAACUACGUG